rnacentral:rRNA from 1 species
ACGCCGCGUGAGUGAUGAAGGCUUUCGGGUCGUAAAACUCUGUUGUUAGGGAAGAACAAGUGCUAGUUGAAUAAGCUGGCACCUUGACGGUACCUAACCAGAAAGCCACGGCUAACUACGUGCCAGCAGCCGCGGUAAUACGUAGGUGGCAAGCGUUAUCCGGAAUUAUUGGGCGUAAAGCGCGCGCAGGUGGUUUCUUAAGUCUGAUGUGAAAGCCCACGGCUCAACCGUGGAGGGUCAUUGGAAACUGGGAGACUUGAGUGCAGAAGAGGAAAGUGGAAUUCCAUGUGUAGCGGUGAAAUGCGUAGAGAUAUGGAGGAACACCAGUGGCGAAGGCGACUUUCUGGUCUGUAACUGACACUGAGGCGCGAAAGCGUGGGGAGCAAACAGGAUUAGAUACCCUGGUAGUCCACGCCGUAAACGAUGAGUGCUAAGUGUUAGAGGGUUUCCGCCCUUUAGUGCUGAAGUUAACGCAUUAAGCACUCCG